UUGCAGCUCCCGAGUGGCGGGGAACGUCAGGGCGGGACAGGGCGGGACCAGGCGGGGACCGCCGCCCUCACCGUGUCGUCCCGGCGCUUCUGCCCGCUCCCGGGAGCCCCGCAGGCAAAGCCUCUCGUGGGGCGCCGGCGCCCCCUGGCGCCAGCGGCAGGAGUUGCGCUGCAGGGUUGGCAAUGCCAGUCCCAGCCCCCGGGGACCGAGUCCUGCUCGCUUACCCGGGGGCCCCAGGACACUGAUUCGUAGUACUUCUUUAGACCACUCUUGGUUCUCUAGUCUCUCCAAUGAACUAAUGAUGCCGGGUGAGCGCCGGGCCCAAGACCACAGGAAGUGGGCCGCACAGCUGUCCCAGUGCCUGUCGCAGCGCAGGGCACACACUCGGUGCUCAGUACUUAGAAUCAAGAGAGAUGAACAGACUGACAAAGAAAUGAGUUGCUGGCUCAAGGUCAUGCUGCUAAUUAGUGAUCCUGGAGAAAAUGACACCUGUGGAUGAGACUGUGAAGGAAGGCGAAUCAGAUGGGUCAAAACUCUUCUCAGAGGCCACCCAGAAGUCAGAGAGAAAGAAGAGCAAGUACUUCUAACUUUGCAAGGAAAAGAACUAAGAACCCAGAAUUCCAGAUUCCAAUCGUGAGAAUAAAAGAACAAAAGAGAUUUUCAAAUGA